rnacentral:rRNA from 1 species
UACGUAGGGGGCAAGCGUUGUCCGGAUUUAUUGGGCGUAAAGGGCACGCAGGCGGUCUUGCGCGUUUCGAGUGACAGGUGGUGGCUUAACUGCCACAGGCCUCGGAAAACGGCAAGACUUGAGGACUUCAGAGGGACGCGGAAUUCCAGGUGGAGCGGUGAAAUGCGUAGAGAUCUGGAAGAACACCAAAGGCGAAGGCAGCGUUCUGGGAAGUAUCUGACGCUCAGGUGCGAAAGCCAGGGGAGCGAACAGG